rnacentral:piRNA from 1 species
UGCCAGCUCUUCUUACUCGGGGCUAAGUUU